CCGGGCUGCUGUAGCUGGAGAAGA
rnacentral:piRNA from 1 species